CCUACGGGUGGCAGCAGUGAGGAAUAUUGGUCAAUGGGCGGAAGCCUGAACCAGCCAAGUAGCGUGCAGGAUGACGGCCCUACGGGUUGUAAACUGCUUUUAUACGGGAAUAACGCGCCUUACGUGUAGGUCUUUGCAUGUACCGUAUGAAUAAGGCCCGGCUAAUUCCGUGCCAGCAGCCGCGGUCCUACGGAAGGUCCGGGCGUUAUGCGGAUUUAUUGGGUGUAAAGGGAGCGUAGGCCGGAUGGCAAGCGUGCUGUGAAAUGUCCGGGCUCAACCCGGGCCUUGCAGCGCAAACUGGCGUGCGUGAGUCCGCGGGAGGCAGGCGGAAUUCGGGGUGUAGCGGUGAAAUGCUUAGAUAUGACGAAGAACCCCGAUUGCGAAGGCAGCUUGCUGGAGCGGAACUGACGCUGAGGCGCGAAAGCGCGGGGAUCGAACAGGAUUAGAUACCCCAGUAGUC
rnacentral:rRNA from 1 species